rnacentral:lncRNA from 1 species
UGAGCUGAGAGUCCUGACUUAAGACUCAGGAAGGAGUGAAGAUGGACGCUCAGCCUGUUUCAGCAGUGGAUCGUCAUGUGAUUCCACCUUACUUGCUGCUAACUAGAUCCAGAAAUGAUGACAUUUAAAGGAAAAAUGGCUACCAUUUCCAGAAUACUGCAGUGUAAUAGAAGAACCUAAUUAAUUUAACCUCACAGAACUCCAUAAUGGCUAGAAUUCAUCAUUCCCACAGAUAGAGCUCAGAGGAAUUAACAGCACUGCACAUCCCCAUACACUCUACAGAUUGGCUGGCCAAGAAUCUUUGCUAAUAUGAGAAAAUGGAGGCUGAGCAUGGUGGCUUAUUCCUGUAAUCCCAGCAAUUUGGGAGUCUGAGGAGGGAGGAUCACUUGAGGUCAGGAUUUCAAGACAAACCUGAGCAACAUAACAG